rnacentral:rRNA from 1 species
AACGAGCGCUGGCGGCAUGCCUAACACAUGCAAGUCGAACGAUUGCCUUCGGGUGAUAGUGGCGCACGGGUGCGUAACGCGUGGGAAUCUGCCCUUAGGUUCGGAAUAACAGCUGGAAACGGCUGCUAAUACCGGAUGAUAUCGCGAGAUCAAAGAUUUAUCGCCUGAGGAUGAGCCCGCGUUGGAUUAGGUAGUUGGUGGGGUAAAGGCCUACCAAGCCGACGAUCCAUAGCUGGUCUGAGAGGAUGAUCAGCCACACUGGGACUGAGACACGGCCCAGACUCCUACGGGAGGCAGCAGUGGGGAAUAUUGGACAAUGGGCGCAAGCCUGAUCCAGCAAUGCCGCGUGAGUGAUGAAGGCCCUAGGGUUGUAAAGCUCUUUUACCCGGGAAGAUAAUGACUGUACCGGGAGAAUAAGCCCCGGCUAACUCCGUG